GACGAACGCUGGCGGCGUGCUUAACACAUGCAAGUCGAACGGAAAGGCCCUGCUUUUGUGGGGUGCUCGAGUGGCGAACGGGUGAGUAACACGUGAUUAACCUGCCCUUGACUUUGGGAUAACUUCAGGAAACUGGUGCUAAUACCGGAUAGGAGCUCCUGCUGUUUGUUGUGGGUUGGAAAGUUUCGGCGGUUGGGGAUGGACUCGCGGCUUAUCAGCUUGUUGGUGGGGUAGUGGCUUACCAAGGCUUUGACGGGUAGCCGGCCUGAGAGGUUGACCGGCCACAUUGGGACUGAGGUACGGCCCAGACUCCUACGGGAGGAAGAAGUGGGGAAUAUUGCACAAUGGGCGGAAGCCUGAUGCAGCAACGCCGCGUGCGGGAUGACGGCCUUCGGGUUGUAAACCGCUUUCGCCUGUGACGAAGCGUGAGUGACGGUAAUGGGUAAAGAAGCACCGGCUAACUACGUG
rnacentral:rRNA from 1 species